GCUUGUGUGCGCGCGUGUGUGUUGCUCUGCCCUGGACUGCUCUGCCCCCGACCUUUGUUGCUGCCCCUGCCUCUGCCUCUGCCUCUCUCGGUCCCUUUCCUCCCUCCUUUCCUUGCUCUCUACUCCUCCUGGCGCCGUCUCUGUCUCUCUGAACAGUCAAGAUUUCAAAAUAAUAAGCGUAGCAAUCGAUCAUCUGCAAAAUUUCGGUAUCCUUAGAAAUCCAGGGUUUGAUUUCUGUUGCACCUUUUUAGGGUUCGUGGUUUGGUGGUCUCUCGGUUGUUGACCGCGAGGCAUCGUCGAGUGCUAUCCGUUUUUUUUUGUCUUCCGUCGGGCGCUUGUCCUUACGCGGCGGUGCAUCGCUGUGAGUGGGACGGGCCGUGGUUAAUCAAGGUGGAGCUGAGGUGCUCGAGGAAUGGAUGAUGAGCCUGCCAAGUGACACCGCGCCGGUUUCUGCACCGCUCGCCCUGGCUAAGCAGCACUACAAUCAGGUGACGUCUCGUUCCUUCUUGUCUCUUAUCUGUGGUUCUUUUUGGCGCAUCUCUUGCGAGGCGAGAUGCGAGGCGGAAUUUAGCCGUUGCACUGGUCUUGUUUUUUGCUUUAUUAUUCUUAUUAUUCUUAUUAUUAAUAUUGUUACUGUACAAAUUGAUGUAAUUUAAUUUAAUUUUACCCGAUUCUGAAUUCGCGUCGACUAUUGUGAAUUGAUGCACGCGAUACGGUUUUUGAUGCUGCAUAUCUUAAUCAAUCUUGCCUUCAAUCAUGUGACGUAGAGGUUGCGUUUCUUUUUUUUUUUUUUUUUUUUUUUUUU
rnacentral:lncRNA from 1 species